GAUGAGCGCUGGCGGCGUGCCUAAUACAUGCAAGUCGAGCGGUAAGGUCCCUUCGGGGAUACACGAGCGGCGGACGGCUGAGUAACACGUAGGAACGUACCCCAAAGUGAGGGAUAACUGCUCGAAAGAGUAGCUAAUACCGCAUGUGAUCCACGGAUUAAAGCUUUAUGCGCUUUGGGAACGGCCUGCGUCCGAUUAGCUUGUUGGUGAGGUAAUAGCUCACCAAGGCGAUGAUCGGUAGCUGGUCUGAGAGGAUGAUCAGCCAGACUGGGACUGAGACACGGCCCAGACUCCUACGGGAGGCAGCAGUAGGGAAUUUUCCACAAUGGGCGAAAGCCUGAUGGAGCAACGCCGCGUGCAGGAUGAAUGCCUUCGGGUUGUAAACUGCUUUUAAUAGUGACGAUUAUGACGGUAACUAUUGAAUAAGGACCUGCUAACUACGUGCCAGCCGCCGCCGUAA
rnacentral:rRNA from 1 species